rnacentral:rRNA from 1 species
UACAGAGGCCUCGAGCGUUAGGCGGAAUCACUGGGCUUAAAGCGCGUGUAGGCGGAUCGUUAAGUGCCUUGUGAAAUCCCACGGCUCAACCGUGGAACUGCUGGGCAUACUGGCGGUCUUGGGCCACUCAGGGGUUGCCGGAACAAAUGGUGGAGCGGUGAAAUGCGUAGAUAUCAUUUGGAACGCCAAUGGUGAAAACAGGUAGCUGGGAGUGUGCUGACGCUGAGACACGAAAGCCAGGGGAGCAAACGGG